CAGGGCGUCGAUGACCUGACGGGCGAGCCCCUGGUCCAGCGCGAGGACGACAAACCCGAGGCCGUUGCCGCCAGGCUGAGAAAAUACAAAGAUGCUGCAAAGCCAGUAAUAGAGCUGUACAAGAGCAGGGGCAUCCUUCAUUCCUUCUCGGGGACGGAGACCAACAAGAUCUGGCCGUACGUGUACACCCUGCUCUCCAGCAAGAUCCCACCCGUUCUUUCGGACGAGGAGAACUAAACAGCUUGUGCCAAGGACCAAGAGUUAACGCCGUCACGGAUUUGGUUUCUCUGGGGCUGUGCUCAGAUUAGGUGAUCGUGCGGUAUCUCAAGUCCCUUCCCUGGGUGUGCUGGGUGACCUCCAUGGGUACACCAUUAUAGCCAGUUUCAGGGUGAAAAGAUCUUGGCUUGUAAGGUCAAAUCUGCUAGAAUAAGAUGGGGUUUUUUUCUCUCUUGAGGCUAUACAAUAUUCCUGCCUAUGGUCCAGUACACACACAGAGCUGGGUAAUGAUCAUACCAGGGUUACACAUCUUGCCAUGGUGUCCCUGCUACCCCCAUACAAACCCCAGUCUCUGAGCCUUCAACGUGCCAUCCUUUUCCUCCACAGUACCAUUUACUGCAGAUUACUCUCUAGGUCGUUUCUUUUUUAAAAAAGAAAUACAAAAAUUAUUUUCUAUAAAAUUUGUUUAUCAGAGAAAUAAGGCUCUAAAAAGCAAGGCUUAGCCCAGUGGGAAUUGGUGAGCAACGUGGAAAAUAUUUACACUCCAAAGCUCAGAAACAUGGAAGAUCACAUUUCUGAUAUUAAUACACACGAAAGAGGGAAAAUAUUGGGAGGUAAAACACGCUCUUGUGCUUGUUCCGUAGAGAGAGAUGAAACCCCUGUUACAGAGCGCUGCCGUUUUCACGAGCUGCUGUGACACCGAGCAGGACCCGUGCCAGGGAUGAGCCACGCUCCUUUGUGCUUACCUUGUUUAUCGCUUUUCACACUACGAGAUACACUCCUGUUUAUGAGAGUUUCUCCCAAAGAUGUAUUUUUAGCGUCUGCUUUGGUUUUGGGGAGAAAUCGAGUCGUUCCAUCUUCUGUGCUGCCUUUAUCCCUGAGGUCUCCCAGCGAUGGGGUGUUCCCUAAGCGGCUCCAGCAUCCCCAGCAGAAGUGACUCCCUCCCCACGAACCCCCGGAGGGACCAGAGCCUUCCCUUCCCUGGGACACGUGCAGGAGCUGCCGAGGGCCAUCCUCAGGCAUUUCCCCAAGAUUUACAGCUUCCUCUGCACAUCUCGCUCCUCUUUUCUUGCGCAGGAGCUUUGUGUCUGGGUGGGGUGGCUUUUCUCAACUGGAAGUACUGUAACCCCUCUUUGGUGGUAGGAUGCAGUACCUAAGCAAUGGGGACGUUCUUUAUGUCUCCACGAGUUGCCUUAUUUUAUAGAAUAUAUAUUUAAGGAAAAAAAAAAAAAAAAAAGCAAGAUGUGUAUUUUUAAAA